rnacentral:lncRNA from 1 species
UUGAAAGAUGAAAUCCAUCCAUUAUUCCAGACACUUUAAAAUCUACCCUUGGAUUUGGACAAAUCAGAAGACAGCUGCAUACCUGGAUGGUAGCUCACAGGCAAAUAUACAGAAAUGUAUAAAGAAACUGACUUCAGUAAAGAUAAGUGAGUAGCCGAAAAUCCCACUUAAAGAGGCAAAACCAUAUUGGAACCAAUGUUACAAUGAAUCCUAGUAGGCUUCUACAACAUGCUUGGUCACUUCAACACCAGGAUCCUGCAGCACUCGCAGCUUCUUCAGUGCCUAGCUCCUGUGGUGUAGGUGCAUAUCAGCCAACAGCACUCAGAAACCCAGUAGCAUCUUCCAGCAUUCCCUCCUGAUUCUGUAUGUUUUUUUAUUCAGAGUGCCUAAGGUAAAGACAUCUUAUGAUCAGCUUUCCUCAGCACCCCAGAGGGAGAAUUUCCUGCAAGUUCUGCCGGCAUGGCACCGCAAGACUUCUCUGUCACCCAGUGAGCAUGACUGUGCUCACAGGUCUGAACUGCAGCUCUGAGAGGCAAACCAGGAGGACCUUUCUUGGAUGUUCCAUCUCAGCUAGAGGAAAAGCCCUAAGAGAUCCUAGCCUGGAGAAUCAUGGAGCCAUGUCGUUAGGAGUUUGAGAUCAUUAUCACAGGAAAAAGAGAACAGCGAGGAGAAAAGGAUAAUAGAGGAAAAGAGCAGAAAGAAGCCAUUUAUAUCUGACUGCUGCUGUGGGAGUUACAGAAUCUCCUUCUUCAACUUGGGCCCUUUGCAGAUGGUGUCUCUACAAAGCAAAGUGAAAUGGACGGUUUUCCAGCUAAUUUGUUUUGUAUGGACAGCCAAGCUGGACACUUGCAGACCACAAAGUCUGUGAAUGAGAACCUGGGAGCUGACAUGAGAAGAAUUGAGCUGGAGCCUUUUGCCAUCACUGAAUAAAUAACUUACCCUCUUGAAUCCUUACCUGUACAACUGGCAUGAGACACCAGCCUGCCUUUCACACAGCUUGUGAUCUAAUAAGAUAAUGCUUAUGUACCUGUUUUAAUAUAAAUAGACUGAUAUUAAAAUGGCACAUAACACAAUCAUUUUUACUACAUCAGUCUUCAUUAUAAAUUAUUUUAUAUGUAUUGAUAGGACUGAGUUGCUAGAUUUUCAAAUGAAUGUUUGAUGAGUUACACCAAGAUAAUACAAGCAUUUUUAAUAUUUAUAGACAAAAAAGUUUAUUUUUCAUAUUUCUGAUGAUGAGAGAAAGAUUCUUAUUUUGUCUGUUAUUAAAUAAGCUGGAUGUACACAAGUUUUCACAUUUUCUGAUUAAAAAAAGAUUUUAAAAGAAAAAAAAUGUUAAUCAAAUGCCCGUAUGGGGAGAAGUAAAAUUUUUGUUGUGGCAAAGUUAAAGUGCACCUCUCUCAACAACACUGAAUUUUUGCAAACACUGAGUAUUUACUUGGUUCAGCCAAUGUUAGUUGUAAGUUUAAGGUAAUUAUAGUACUUGAAUGGUAUAGAGGAGGAUAGCUAUUACAAAUUGGGGGAGAAGGAAAGGAACUUCAGUGGUCUCGGAAAAUUUAAGACAGAAUUUGACCGUUCUUGUUUUUUAAAAACACGAUGCCCCAUCAUCCUUUGAUCCACCAGUAAGAAUAUGAAGCUGCACCCCACAAGCUACAUAGCAUAAGGUGAUUUAAUGCAUUGUCUAUAUUUUAUACUAUAUUACAAUGCAGCUUACACAUAUUCAAAACAAUUGUUAGGCUACAGCUUUGUCACAUUGUGCAUUAUUUACAAUCACUUGUAAAUCCAGAAAAAUACACACGCGGAGAAAUGAAAGCAGGAGGUAGAGAUUGUUUUAAUGUGAUUAUAUUGGCAUCUGAUAUGAUAGUGCUUUGGACCAUAUUGACAUGAGUGAGGAUUCUAAGUAGCAACUGUUCAAUACCAUCCGUUGGACUUCUCUGAUAGACCACUUAACUAUCUCAGCUUUUCCAGUGAUCAUCUCAUUUAUCUAGGAUUAUUGCACUGAAUUUACUGUUUGGUUUUCUUCCAGAACUGAAAUGUCAAGUCCAGUGUCAUGUAUGCAGUAGCUUUGUGCUGUGAGAGCUUCACAGAUCCCCCAAAAGCUGCUAGCAGUUGAUCUUUGGAUAGAGCUAGAAAUAAAUAAAUCCUCUUUAGCAGAUCAAUAUUCAUCCCAUUUAAUGCUUGAUGUGAAACUUGUGGAUUUGUGGUGGUAAUGCUGAUGUACAGCUAAUCGUUGAAAAUGGGCAUUAGGGCUUUUAUAGCAUGGCAACAUAUUGUCAGGCAGGAAGGGAAAGAAGUGGAAAACACAGCCUGGAAAAAAAAUAUGAUUCAGGCUGCCCCUGCUGAAUUUUAGAGAGCGUCAAAACUUAUUGGUUAAAGGGAUGCCUUUAUGAGUAAAACAUGAGAAAUAUUCACUUACUAGGUAAGCAAUUUGUAAGGACUGGAAGUAGAAAUUAAGCAACCAAGACAAGAAGGCUGUCCUAUCAGUUUCAAGAACAACUAAGAGGAUGUUAAAGGACAGCAGAGGGAGCCCCUGCAUGACUUAAGAAAACCGAAGGCAGGCAGAACAGAGACUUUUCAGGGUGCGAAGUUACGCAUGGUGCCCUCUACUGGAGUCACUGGUAAAGAGUUUUGAUUUCAAAAAGAAAUUGACGUAGAAUUUGUUCUUGUUCCAUUGUAUUGGUGAAGAAACUGAAGUUCAAAGUAAUUGGCAGAACAUACUACUUUGGGCAGUAUGGGAGUAGAGGCCUAUGGACGACCAGCAACAGGAAGAAAAUGAGGCAGAGAAAGAUAAAGUGAUGUUUCAAGGCCACAUGACAAGGAAGAAGCAGAGUUAGGAUUCCACCCUAGAAACUCUGGCUCCUCAGAUGGUAAGUUUUGCCAUUGUGCCCUACUGUCUCUUCAUAUACUUUAUGAAUUGAAGAGGCCUCCUUUUUAUAUAUUCGUGAUAUGCUCUGUGCUGUAGUUUUCCUUUAGAAACACCAGAACCCCCAAAACAUGUACAGGUAUUCUAUCACUCAAUAAUUAUUCAGCACCUAACAUAUGCCCAACAUUCAGUCACUAGACAUAUAAUGGUGUAUUAGUCCAUUUUCACACUGCUGAUAAAGACAUACCUCAGACUGGGAAAUUUACAAAAGAAAGGGGUUUCACUGGACUCACAAUCAUGAUGGAAGGCAAGGAGGAGCAAGUCAUGUCUUACGUGGAUGGCAGCAGGCAAACAGAGAACUUGUGCAGAGAAACGCCCAUUUUUAAAACUGUAAGAUCUCGUGAGACCCAUUCACUAUCAUGAGAACAGCACGGGAAAGACACACCCCCAUGAUUCAAUCAUCUCCCACCAGGUCCCUCCCACAACAUGUGGGAAUUAUGGGAGCUACAAGAUGAGAUUUGGGUGGGGAUAUAGAGCCAAACCAUAUCAAAUGGUAAAAA